CCUACGGGUGGCAGCAGUGAGGAAUAUUGGUCAAUGGACGAGAGUCUGAACCAGCCAAGUCGCGUGAAGGAUGACUGCCCUAUGGGUUGUAAACUUCUUUUAUAUGGGAAUAAAACGUUCCACGUGUGGGAUUUUGUAUGUACCAUAUGAAUAAGGAUCGGCUAACUCCGUGCCAGCAGCCGCGGUACUACGGAGGAUCCGAGCGUUAUCCGGAUUUAUUGGGUUUAAAGGGAGCGUAGGUGGAUUGUUAAGUCAGUUGUGAAAGUUUGCGGCUCAACGGUAAAAUUGCAGUUGAAACUGGCAGUCUUGAGUACAGUAGAGGUGGGCGGAAUUCGUGGUGUAGCGGUGAAAUGCUUAGAUAUCACGAAGAACUCCGAUUGCGAAGGCAGUUCACUGGACUGCAACUGACACUGAGGCUCGAAAGUGUGGGUAUCAAACAGGAUUAGAUACCCCGGUAGUC
rnacentral:rRNA from 1 species